GAAGCUGGUGCCAAGCAAAUUGCAGGCUAAAAGGGGUCUGGAUUGUGUGGGGCAAUGCUUUAAUCUUUUGUCCCCAUUUCCUGCAGCUGAGCAACGCCAUUAACCUGAAGGAGAUCGCUGGGAAGACAGAGGGGUACUCGGGCAGCGAUUUGAAGGAGCUGUGUCGCGAUGCAGCCAUGUACCGUGUGCGGGAUUACGUGCGCAAGCAGCAGAUGAAGCAGAUCACACAGCAGCUGCAGGACAGCGACGGCGAGGACAGGCCUGUGGAUGAAGACAGGCUGCGGCCAGUGACCCAGCUGGAUCUGCUCUUCGGCUUGGAGAAGAUGAAGGAAUCCAAGGCAGCUGCCUCCUAUCAUAUGAGCCUGAGAGAUGUCCCUCUGGACUAGUCCCAUCCAGGCACAGGGAGAACACCAGAGCACAAAUGAGCCACAGACACUUUCAUUUAAAAAAAAAAAAAAAAAAAUGUAGCUCUUACAAAGGACUCAGGAGUCUAGGAGAUUAACUGUGGAGGGUAUUUGUGCUCUGGGAUGGCAAUGAGACUCCCAUUGCACAGCAGUUUGAUCCAUUCCUGGUUUUACUGUGAGUUUAAUAAUAAGACACACCUGAGCUUGCUACCUAUACACUGGAGCUAAUCCAGCACAUGUUAAAACCUGGAACGGGUGUAACUGCUAUGCAGUAGGAGUCUUAAUUCCAACCCUGCUGUUAAUUGGAACCGAAAAACUGUUUUGAAUAUUUUUUUAAAAUUAUGUUUUGGAUACGUUUUGUAUUUGUUUGCUGUUCCACAAGUUACACUAACUCUUCGCUCAGUGUAGCGGUCAUCCACUGGUUGGAUAACGACCGUUCUGUUCAGAAAACUGUUUGGCAAUGCAGGGAUGACAAUAAGACUCCCAUUGCACAGCAGUUCAAGACAUUCCCAGUUUUACUAUGAGUUUAAUAAUAAGACAGACCUGAGCUUGUUAGCGGUACCCUGUGGGUAAUCAAGGUCUUAGGAAAACCUGGAACGGGUUCAAACUGCUAUGCAACAGGAAUUGUAUUUCUACCCCUGCAAUGUUAAAAGAGCAACCUGAUAUGAAUAUGAAAUAUCAUCAGUUAUUUAUUUUAGAUAUUUCACACCUGUUACAUUUUGUCUUGAAUCUCACAUUCACAGCCAAGUACUGUAGGGUAGAACACGUGUGUGUGUGUGUGUUUGACCAAGUAAAAAAAAAGUCGUCCUCAUGUGUUUGACAUUUUAUUUAUUGUCCCAUCCUGUCCUGGUAAUGCACUGUUACCAUAGCAAUGCUAUCCCUGAAAGAAUAAAUGGAAAGGAACCCC